ACUUGAAGCCAAGCGGUUCUGAGGCACGUUGCACCGGUUUCCGAUGAAUCACUAAAGUUAAGACACAUUGCUUUUGGUUAGUAUCCUGAUGGGUGACCAUCCGGACGAUCGCGUGCUGCUAGUU
rnacentral:rRNA from 1 species